rnacentral:rRNA from 1 species
CUACUCGGGUAUCUAAUCCUGUUUGCUCCCCACGCUUUCGCACCUCAGCGUCAGUUCCGGACCAGUAAGCCGCCUUCGCCACUGGUGUUCUUCCUAAUAUCUACGAAUUCCACCUCUACACUAGGAGUUCCACUUACCUCUUCCGGACUCUAGCUUGCCAGUAUCAAAGGCAGUUCCGGAGUUGAGCUCCGGGAUUUCACCCCUGACUUAACAAACCGCCUACGUGCGCUUUACGCCCAGUAAAUCCGAACAACGCUAGCCCCCUUCGUAUUACCGCGGCUGCUGGCAC